rnacentral:lncRNA from 1 species
CACCAUGUAAUGGAUUGUGGAAUUGACAUCAGUGAGUCUGGAAAUAUGUCGUUCUUUCAGUUGUAUGGAGUGCUGUCAGACUCUGAGAACGAGGAGCCUAUUGGAAGGAGGACCAGGCACGUGUCUGCAUUUGUUCGUAAAACAAGAAGCUCUCCAGCAUUCGUUCGAGGACUACAGAAGACCGUGCUGCAAAGAAGCCGCAGCUGCACCGACUCGGAGGAGAUCAGAGGGAAGGUGCAGAGUUUUCCACAGCUGCCGGUGCUGGACAAGUCGAGCGCUUCAUACAGCUUAAAUGCGGGAAUUUUGCUGUCGUCCGAGAACAGCCGGUCGCUCUCGGCACCGGUCCUCGUCUCCGAGCGCAGGCAUCACUGGCGGAGUGUCCUGGCUUUUUCCACCCCAUUCCUGGCACCCCAGUCCAAAGCUGAGCGCUCCAUUAGCC